UUUGUCUGUCAAUUGUUGCUUUACUUCCUUUGUAAAAUGAGGUUAAAUUGAGUAUCACUGAAUAUUGUAUGCUUUUUUUCAGGAUCAGCUAAGAUGUUGUUUCACUGGAUUAUUUAAUUGGGCAUAUAAUUGGAUAAUUCUGUCCUCAACAUGGAAGUUAUGUUUUAUUCCUAACCAUCUAUAAUCCAUUCUCUAUGAAGUUCAGCCUGUCUGCCCUUCCUUUGGAAAUACACAGUUAGUCAACCAACAUAGAAACACACAAACUUGAAGGGAAAGAAUACUAUAAUGUGGAUCCUGGGGAUCAACAGUGAAACAUCUUAAUGACCCUCAUGACUAGGUCUUCAGGCUGUAACCUUUAUUGCUGAUGUAAGAUGAUCUGUUUGCAUAGCAUUAAAAUUUCCUGGUGUUUCUACCAUCCAGGAUCUUCUUAUGAGUGCAUGGGGACUGCUGUGGACCUUAACCUGUUUAUAAAAAUAUACCUUGGAGCAUGACCCUUUAUUCAUAGAAGGAUUCUCAAUGGGGAACUCAGUAAAUUAUGCACAGACUAACAGAAUAUACUCUCUUGGAACACUGAUACAAGAAUAUAAAACCAGAGAUGGAUGGAGGAUUUAAGAAGCACAUGAAUAAAUAUGAUUUUCAAACUAAGUCAAUCAUGAUGAUCAUGAAUUGUGGUUCACAGGAUGACAGAGAAAGGACCCAGGAUAGUGCAUUUUUCUAGAUCCUCUCCCAUUCAUAUCCUUCAUAUGCUGGCAUACAAAACAAUAGAUAAAUUGUAGUCAUUUAACAGACUGAAGUUUAAUCAAAUCAAAGUAUUGAAAAUGUGUUUUUCUGAUAGUAUGAGAUCUUCAAAAAAAUAAUUCUCACAGAUUUCAAAGUAUCUAAAUAUAACUUUUAAUUUAUGUAGUCCAAAUUGAAUACAGUUGUUAUGUAUGACUUUUAUACAUUGAAUCCUUAAUUUUUCAUCUUAUAUCUACAACACCCCUAGAAAAUACACAGAUAUUCAGAAGCUAGGUUUGGUGUAUUUAUUACUUUCCUUGAAUUGUAAAUGCAUUUUAUUUGUGUAUGUAUCAUGUCCUAUUUUGAAUUUAAGAUAGGUCUCAAUAAGAUCCCCUAUAAAGAUGCAAGUGUCCCAUAAUCUGUGAUUUAAUAAUAUCUUGAAUAUCUUUAUCAUCCAUCAUACUUAUUACAUAUGGAAUGAUUGAAGGUAUACAUUUGUUUUUUAAGACACUUUGUCAAGGUCAAAGCAUGAGAUAAUUGAGAUGAGUACUUUGACAUUAAUUUGUAACUUAAAAACUUCACAUCAUAAGUACACAAAUGAAGAAUGAAUAGGAGAUUUCAAUACAUUUAUUUUUGGAUCAUUUUCUCCUGGGCAAAAUUAGUUACUGAGAUAACUGAUAUGAGUCUUGAAAUGCAAUAACUUCAAAAUUGUGUGAUAACUUAUAGACUUUAUAAAAAUUAGGUGUAAAUUUUUAGGAAAGAAUUAAAAUAUUAAUCAAAUGUACAAUGUCCAAGGGUGUUUAUUUAAAUAUUAUCAUGUAAUAUCUUGAGUUUCUGUUUAUUUGUCCAAUUCAAAUUGAAGACAGUUGUUAUGUCUGGUUUUUAUACAUUGGAUCCUUUACUUUUAAUUUCUACAACCCCCUAAAAAUGACACAGAUAUUCAGAAGCUAGGUUUGGUGUAUUUUUUUUUACUUUCCUGGAACUGUAAAUACAUUUUGUUUGUGUUUGUCCUAUUUUGAAUUUAAUAGGUCUCAAUAAGACCCCUCCCCCCAUAAAGAUGCAAGUGUCCUAUAAUCUGUGAUAAUAUGUUGAAUAUUUUUAUCAUUCCAUAAAUUUUAUUCUUACUACACAUAUAGUGUUUGGAGUAAUGCACUUAGUUGUAUAGAACAAUAUUCAAGGUCAAAGCAUGAGAUUAUUGAGAUAACUACCUUUGUCAAUAAUUUGUAACCUUCAAAACUUCACAUCUUAAGUGAAGAAUGGAUAGGAGAUUUUCUAUAGAUUUUUGGAUCAUUUUCCUACAGGAUAAUAUUACUGACUUGAAACAUUUCAUUAUAACCUAGAGACCAUAUCUGCUAUGUUAGGUGGCAUGGCAUAUUCUUUGGAAAGAAUUGAAAUGUUAUUCAAAUGUACAAAGUUCAAGGGUGUUUUAAAGACUAUAACCAAGUUAUACCUUAGAAUUCUCUAAAAAUCUUAUCACUGCAUAGAAUAAACACUGGUUGGAAUAAUAUAUGUUUUGAACUAAGGUCAAGACUGUGGAAUGAUAUGACUUUUAUUCAAGCGGUGCAGUACAACAACUCUGGUGAUUUACAUACCUGCAGUCAUAAAUAGAUACAUGUAGGCAUGGGGUAGACUCCCAUAGAUUUUAAGAUCUUCAUUCAAAAGUAUAGAAAGUUUUUAAGUUUGAAAGAUUAAUGUGUCAGCAUAUCAUUUGCUUGUGAAUUUAAAAUAAAUUCAAACAUAUACAUCUUUAGAUGAUAACUAGUUAUUUCAAUUCCUGGACUUUCUAUCUUGAUAUUUUCCUUUACUAUCUGUAAAAUUUAAUGAUUGUCUUUUUUUUAGUUUAGUUGAACUAGUUUCUUAUUAGCAUGUGAAAAUGGCAUCAUCCAAAUAAGUUCAUCUACAUUUUAUAUGUAGGAGAGAAUUUUUCAUCACAGGGAAAGAAAGAGAUUGUCUUGUAUAAUAUAAUGCAUUGGUACACAAAAAUAUCUUUCAAUUUCUAACAUGUUUCAUUUUUGUUACAUGGAAUGAUAAGUUCUGUUGAUUUCCUACCAAAGACAUACUAGUAGAGUAAUAAAUGUAUAUGAUGUGUCAGAAAAGCAUGUGGAAACCUAAUGACUUUAUCAUUUCUGAUUAAAAAUCAAAUUAUGA